AUUGAACGCUGGCGGCAGGCCUAACACAUGCAAGUCGAGCGAGCGGCGGACGGGUGAGUAAUGUAUGGGGACUGCCCGAUAGAGGGGGAUAACUACUGGAAACGGUGGCUAAUACCGCAUACUAUCGGAUAACCCAUAUGGGAUUAGCUCGUGGGUGGGGUAAAGGCUCACCAGGGCGACGAUCCCUAGCUGGUCUGAGAGGAUGAUCAGCCACACGGGGACUGAGACACGGCACAGACUCCUACGGAGGCAGCAGUGGGGAAGUUUGCACAAGGGGGGCAAGCCGGAUGCAGCCAUGCCGCGUGUAUGAAGAAGGCCUUCGGGUUGUAAAGUACUUUCAGCGGGGAGGCGUUACCCGCAGAAGAAGCACCGGCUAACUCCGUGCCAGCAGCCGCGGUAAUAC
rnacentral:rRNA from 1 species